rnacentral:tRNA from 1 species
UCCCUGGUGGCCUAGUGGCUAAGGACUCAGCAUUGUUACAGCUGUGGCUCAGGCUCCAUUCCUGACCCAGGAA